rnacentral:rRNA from 1 species
GGAUCCAGACUUUGAUCAUGGCUCAGGAUGAACGAUAGCUACAGGCUUAACACAUGCAAGUCGAGGGGAAACGAUAUUGGAAGCUUGCUUCCGAUAGGCGUCGACCGGCGCACGGGUGAGUAACGCGUAUCCAACCUGCCCACCACUUGGGGAUAACCUUGCGAAAGUAAGACUAAUACCCAAUGAUAUCUCUAGAAGACAUCUGAAAGGGAUUAAAGAUUUAUCGGUGAUGGAUGGGGAUGCGUCUGAUUAGCUUGUCGGCGGGGUAACGGCCCACCAAGGCGACGAUCAGUAGGGGUUCUGAGAGGAAGGUCCCCCACAUUGGAACUGAGACACGGUCCAAACUCCUACGGGAGGCAGCAGUGAGGAAUAUUGGUCAAUGGACGAGAGUCUGAACCAGCCAAGUAGCGUGCAGGAUGACGGCCCUAUGGGUUGUAAACUGCUUUUAUAAGGGAAUAAAGUGAGCUACGUGUAGCUUUUUGCAUGUACCUUAUGAAUAAGGACCGGCUAAUUCCGUGCCAGCAGCCGCGGUAAUACGGAAGGUCCGGGCGUUAUCCGGAUUUAUUGGGUUUAAGGGGAGCGUAGGCCGGAGAUUAAGCGUGUUGUGAAAUGUAGAUGCUCAACAUCUGCACUGCAGCGCGAACUGGUUUCCUUGAGUACGCACAAAGUGGGCGGAAUUCGUGGUGUAGCGGUGAAAUGCUUAGAUAUCACGAAGAACUCCGAUUGCGAAGGCAGCUCACUGGAGCGCAACUGACGCUGAAGCUCGAAAGUGCGGGUAUCGAACAGGAUUAGAUACCCUGGUAGUCCGCACGGUAAACGAUGGAUGCCCGCUGUUGGUCUGAAUAGGUCAGCGGCCAAGCGAAAGCAUUAAACAUCCCACCUGGGGAGUACGCCGGCAACGGUGCAAC